UCCCAUGUGGCUCAGCUGGUAAAGAAUCUGCCUGCAAUGCAGGAGACCUGGGUUCGAUCUCUGGGUUGGGAA
rnacentral:tRNA from 1 species